ACCAUUUUGACAUAAUAAAAUAUGAUUGUUGUACACGACUACAGUCGUCUCACAAAAAAGGCGAGUUCUGUUAGAAAUUACCUCUUUCAGAAUGGUGAAAUGUUGAGUCUUUAUUAAAGCGCUAUAUUGACUCAUUGGAUAACGUUUUUAGCUUUAUUUUAAGCAUUUGGAGCCAAAACGGGAGCCAGCAAGAAGGAGCCUUCUGGACGUUGUUCAGCCACCAAGGAGCAAUAGAUCAGGCAUUCUACAUCUUUUUAUGACAAUAAACAUUGCAAAACCACUUGGCUGUCAACCAGGAGUGAAGAAAACGUGUGGUCUUAAUGUUCACAGAAGAAAAGACGACAUCCCUUUUCUGCGUUUCCCACCAAGUCUUGGCAUAUGGCGAACAUGGCUUGUUUUCUGCUCUGCAGCCAUUUGUUGUCUUUAUGCCGCUGUGUACCACGAGUACUGACAAGCUUGAAACAGGAGAGGAAAACACAAUUUUCAGCCCCUAGGUUUUACUAGCUCUCCAAUCUCUCUGGCACACACUCCAACUUUCAUCCUCCACUUUUUGGGGGUCCGUGGCUCAUCUCGAACCAAACACCUUCUGGUUCUAAUCACCUGAAUCAAUAAUCACAUCUUUGUCAAACUCUUUUCUCUUUGAUGUUUGUCUUGUCUUCUCUUGGAUACCUUGAAAGAACAUUUGGGAUCAGACCCUCUUGAGUACAUUCGACCUGAAGGCAUCAAGCAAUGCUUUGUUCUUUUAUUGUACCCGAAAACAACUUUUGUAAGGAUGGAGGACUUUGUAAGUUUAGUCACCUGUGAUCCUGUUUGUCCACUUUGUCCGCUCACCCCCCCCCCCCCCCCC